UGAGUAAUCUGCCCUCGACACUGGGAUAGCCCGGGGAAACCCGGAUUAAUACCGGAUACUCCGGUCGAACCGCAUGGCUCAAUCGGGAAAGCUCCGACGGUCUGGGAUGGGCCCGCGGCCUAUCAGCUUGUUGGUGGGGCAACGGCCUACCAAGGCGACGACGGGUAGCUGGUCUGAGAGGACGACCAGCCACACUGGAACUGAGAUACGGUCCAGACUCCUACGGGAG
rnacentral:rRNA from 1 species